UCGAGCGAAAGCGAGAAAGCGUUGCCGCAGGCAACGACCCGAAGGGCGAAACGCGCAGCGCUGAGUCAUCCUUCCCCCACCACCA
rnacentral:sRNA from 2 species